UACAGAGGUCUCAAGCGUUGUUCGGAUUCAUUGGGCGUAAAGGGUGCGUAGGCGGCGCGGUAAGUCGGUAGUGUGAAAUUUCGAGGCUUAACUUCGAAACUGCAUUCGAUACUGCCGUGCUUGAGGACUGGAGAGGAGACUGGAAUUUACGGUGUAGCGGUGAAAUGCGUAGAUAUCGUAAGGAAGACCAGUGGCGAAGGCGGGUCGCUGGGCAGUUCCUGACGCUGAGGCACGAAGGUCAGGGGGAGCAAACGGG
rnacentral:rRNA from 1 species